rnacentral:rRNA from 1 species
CCUACGGGGGUCUGCAGUGAGGAAUAUUGGUCAAUGGGCGCGAGCCUGAACCAGCCAAGUCGCGUGCGGGAAGACGGUCCUAUGGAUUGUACACCUCUUUUGUCGGGGAGCAACAGACGCCACGCGUGGCGUUCCGAGAGUACCCGAAGAAAAAGCAUCGGCUAACUCCGUGCCAGCAGCCGCGGUAAUACGGAGGAUUCGAGCGUUAUCCGGAUUUAUUGGGUUUAAAGGGUGCUCAGGCGGAAGAUCAAGUCAGCGGGAAAAUUGAGAGGCUCAACCUCUUCGUGCCGUUGAAACUGGUGUUCUUGAGUGAGUGAGAAGUAUGCGGAAUGCGUGGUGUAGCGGUGAAAUGCAUAGAUAUCACGCAGAACUCCGAUUGCGAAGGCAGCAUACCGGCGCUCAACUGACGCUCAUGCACGAAAGUGUGGGUAUCGAACAGGAUUAGAUACCCUGGUAGUC